rnacentral:misc_RNA from 1 species
UUGUAUUUUUAACCGACUUCCAAAAAAGGAGGAGGUUCUCAAUUCGACUGUAUUUUUUUUUUUUAUGUAUGUUACAUCAGAACUUUUGACCGGGUAGACCGAUUUCGACAAAUUUUGUUUUAAUCGAAAGGUGGUGUGUGCCAAUUGGUCCCAUUUAAAUUUAUUUGAGAUCUAACAACUACUUUUCGAGCUAUAUCUAAUAAUGCGUUUUUACUUGACGCUUUUUUCGUCGACCUACGUUGUAUUAUACCGCAUAACUUUCUACUGGAUGUACCGAUUUCGAUAAUUCUUUUUUUGUUGGAAAGGAGAUAUCCCAAGCUUAGUACCAUGAUAAGGAAACCAGGAUCUGAUGAUGGAAUCCUAGAGAAAUCGAGGGAAACUCUUGAAAAUCCGCAAUAACUUUUUACUAGGUGUACCGAUUUUGAUAAUUCUUUUUUUGUUGGAAAGGAGAUAUCCCAAGCUUAGUACCAUGA